rnacentral:rRNA from 1 species
UGGGGAAUAUUGCACAAUGGGCGCAAGCCUGAUGCAGCCAUGCCGCGUGUGUGAAGAAGGCCUUCGGGUUGUAAAGCACUUUCAGCGGGGAGGAAGGCGUUAAGGUUAAUAACCUUGGCGAUUGACGUUACCCGCAGAAGAAGCACCGGCUAACUCCGUGCCAGCAGCCGCGGGAAUACGGAGGGUGCAAGCGUUAAUCGGAAUUACUGGGCGUAAAGCGCACGCAGGCGGUCUCUCAAGUCGGAUGUGAAAUCCCCGGGCUCAACCUGGGAACUGCAUUCGAAACUGGCAGGCUAGAGUCUUGUAGAGGGGGGUAGAAUUCCAGGUGUAGCGGUGAAAUGCGUCGAGAUCUGGAGGAAUACCGGUGGCGAAGGCGGCCCCCUGGACAAAGACUGACGCUCAGGUGCGAAAGCGUGGGGAGCAAACAGG